rnacentral:lncRNA from 1 species
CUUGGGAAAUCAUUUACCUUCAAAGAAGGAUUUCAUUCUGUUUAUGUUAAAAAUGAAAUGUUAAGUAAAAUAUGGAUGAAUGCAGAUAAGAAUAAAACAGUUAAAUAUUUACAUAAUAAGUGAACCUUCCAGGAAUGUUUACUUUCAAACAUUUCUGGUUAAAUGUAACACAUUUUCUUCAAAAAUUCUGUUCUUUUCUCAGGGGUCCUAUUCAGUUCACUUUAUGCCAUUUGUAAUUUACACUGAAUUAAAAUGUUUUCCCUCUUUUAGUUUGAGUGCUUGGACUAGAAACGUGUCUAUGACGUUCUUAUCAUCAGGCCCUCUUCACUGUCAUGGAAAUUUUAAGAGGUCUCCCUUCAGAGUUCCAGCCACAUAUUCCCCUUCUCAGCGGGAACCUGCCUAUGCUGUCUCACAGACACCAACGCUGAACUGGUGGUCUCUCCCACACAUUUACUCCUUUCCCAAAUAUUCACCAUUUUUCACCACAGUUUUGAUUACUACUUGUAUAUACAUGCAGACCUGCAUACACGUGUUCUUAUGUGAGGAAAUAUAUAAAAAUGUUUAUAUAUGUGUGUGUUUACACAUAUAAGGCAGAAGCCUUAGCAUUUUAUUUUGUGCUGUAUCUCUAGUGCCUGCAGUAGUGGCUGAUGUAAAACAGAUACUCAAUAAAUAUUUGUCAAAUGGACAAAUUUCCUGCUGGAACAAUAAUUGGGGCCAGAGCAAUGCAGUGUAUUGGUUGCUUAUAUCUUGGUCACAUGUGGUACUUAAGCCAAGCUGGGUAGCAAAUGCCUACAAUCUUGGUCACAUGUGGUACUUAAGCCAAGCUUGGUAGCAAAUGCCUACAAUCUUGGCACUGAGGGAGGCUAAGGCAGGAGGAUUUCAGCCUGGGCAACUUUGUGGCUUAGGGAGACUCUGUCUCAAAAUUUAAAAAAUUUAAGAAAAAAAGGCUGAGAAUGUAGCUCCAUGGUAGAGUUCCAUGCUCCCCACUGGGUUCCAUGCUCACUACUCCCCCAUCCCCCAUACUACUUAUAGGGUUGAGUGUGAAACUCUCAGUAAAAGACAUUAAGUGUGAAAUUAAAAAUAAAAAUUGGGGUUAUUGUCAGAAGCAAGGAAGGUAAGAAAAGCAAACAACAUGAUACUGAUUACACUUAUUCAGUUCAAUUCAGUUAAGAAC